UUAAGCGACUAAGCGUACACGGUGGAUGCCCUGGCAGUCAGAGGCGAUGAAGGACGUGCUAAUCUGCGAAAAGCGUCGGUAAGGUGAUAUGAACCGUUACAGCCGGCGAUGUCCGAAUGGGGAAACCCAGUGCAAUUCGUUGCACUAUCGUUAACUGAAUACAUAGGUUAACGAGGCGAACCGGGGGAACUGAAACAUCUAAGUACCCCGAGGAAAAGAAAUCAACCGAGAUUCCCCCAGUAGCGGCGAGCGAACGGGGAGCAGCCCAGAGUCUGAAUCAGCUUGUGUGUUAGUGGAACGGUCUGGAAAGUCCGACGGUACAGGGUGAUAGUCCCGUACACCAAAAUGCACAGGUUGUGAACUCGAAGAGUAGGGCGGGACACGUGGUAUCCUGUCUGAAUAUGGGGGGACCAUCCUCCAAGGCUAAAUACUCCUGACUGACCGAUAGUGAACCAGUACCGUGAGGGAAAGGCGAAAAGAACCCCGGCGAGGGGAGUGAAAAAGAACCUGAAACCGUGUACGUACAAGCAGUGGGAGCACCUUCGGGUGUGACUGCGUACCUUUUGUAUAAUGGGUCAGCGACUUAUAUUCUGUAGCAAGGUUAACCGUAUAGGGGAGCCGCAGGGAAACCGAGUCUUAACUGGGCGUUAAGUUGCAGGGUAUAGACCCGAAACCCGGUGAUCUAGCCAUGGGCAGGUUGAAGGUUGGGUAACACUAACUGGAGGACCGAACCGACUAAUGUUGAAAAAUUAGCGGAUGACUUGUGGCUGGGGGUGAAAGGCCAAUCAAACCGGGAGAUAGCUGGUUCUCCCCGAAAGCUAUUUAGGUAGCGCCUCGUGAACUCAUCUUCGGGGGUAGAGCACUGUUUCGGCUAGGGGGUCAUCCCGACUUACCAACCCGAUGCAAACUACGAAUACCGAAGAAUGUUAUCACGGGAGACACACGGCGGGUGCUAACGUCCGUCGUGAAGAGGGAAACAACCCAGACCGCCAGCUAAGGUCCCAAAGUCAUGGUUAAGUGGGAAACGAUGUGGGAAGGCACAGACAGCCAGGAUGUUGGCUUAGAAGCAGCCAUCAUUUAAAGAAAGCGUAAUAGCUCACUGGUCGAGUCGGCCUGCGCGGAAGAUGUAACGGGGCUAAACCAUGCACCGAAGCUGCGGCAGCGACACUAUGUGUUGUUGGGUAGGGGAGCGUUCUGUAAGCCUGCGAAGGUGUGCUGUGAGGCAUGCUGGAGGUAUCAGAAGUGCGAAUGCUGACAUAAGUAACGAUAAAGCGGGUGAAAAGCCCGCUCGCCGGAAGACCAAGGGUUCCUGUCCAACGUUAAUCGGGGCAGGGUGAGUCGACCCCUAAGGCGAGGCCGAAAGGCGUAGUCGAUGGGAAACAGGUUAAUAUUCCUGUACUUGGUGUUACUGCGAAGGGGGGACGGAGAAGGCUAUGUUAGCCGGGCGACGGUUGUCCCGGUUUAAGCAUGUAGGCUGGUUAUCCAGGCAAAUCCGGAUAAUCAAGGCUGAGGUGUGAUGACGAGGCACUACGGUGCUGAAGUAACAAAUGCCCUGCUUCCAGGAAAAGCCUCUAAGCAUCAGGUAACAUUAAAUCGUACCCCAAACCGACACAGGUGGUCAGGUAGAGAAUACCAAGGCGCUUGAGAGAACUCGGGUGAAGGAACUAGGCAAAAUGGUGCCGUAACUUCGGGAGAAGGCACGCUGGUGUGUAGGUGAAGUCCCUGCGGAUGGAGCUGAGACCAGUCGAAGAUACCAGCUGGCUGCAACUGUUUAUUAAAAACACAGCACUGUGCAAACACGAAAGUGGACGUAUACGGUGUGACGCCUGCCCGGUGCCGGAAGGUUAAUUGAUGGGGUUAUCCGUAAGGAGAAGCUCUUGAUCGAAGCCCCGGUAAACGGCGGCCGUAACUAUAACGGUCCUAAGGUAGCGAAAUUCCUUGUCGGGUAAGUUCCGACCUGCACGAAUGGCGUAAUGAUGGCCAGGCUGUCUCCACCCGAGACUCAGUGAAAUUGAACUCGCUGUGAAGAUGCAGUGUACCCGCGGCAAGACGGAAAGACCCCGUGAACCUUUACUAUAGCUUGACACUGAACAUUGAGCCUUGAUGUGUAGGAUAGGUGGGAGGCUUUGAAGCGUGGACGCCAGUCUGCGUGGAGCCAACCUUGAAAUACCACCCUUUAAUGUUUGAUGUUCUAACGUUGGCCCCUUACCGGGGUUGCGGACAGUGUCUGGUGGGUAGUUUGACUGGGGCGGUCUCCUCCCAAAGCGUAACGGAGGAGCACGAAGGUUAGCUAAUCCUGGUCGGACAUCAGGAGGUUAGUGCAAUGGCAUAAGCUAGCUUGACUGCGAGCGUGACGGCGCGAGCAGGUGCGAAAGCAGGUCAUAGUGAUCCGGUGGUUCUGAAUGGAAGGGCCAUCGCUCAACGGAUAAAAGGUACUCCGGGGAUAACAGGCUGAUACCGCCCAAGAGUUCAUAUCGACGGCGGUGUUUGGCACCUCGAUGUCGGCUCAUCACAUCCUGGGGCUGAAGUAGGUCCCAAGGGUAUGGCUGUUCGCCAUUUAAAGUGGUACGCGAGCUGGGUUUAGAACGUCGUGAGACAGUUCGGUCCCUAUCUGCCGUGGGCGCUGGAGAAUUGAGGGGGGCUGCUCCUAGUACGAGAGGACCGGAGUGGACGCAUCACUGGUGUUCGGGUUGUCAUGCCAAUGGCACUGCCCGGUAGCUAAAUGCGGAAGAGAUAAGUGCUGAAAGCAUCUAAGCACGAAACUUGCCCCGAGAUGAGUUCUCCCUGAGACUUUAAGUCUCCUGAAGGAACGUUGAAGACGAUGACGUUGAUAGGCCGGGUGUGUAAGCGCAGCGAUGCGUUGAGCUAACCGGUACUAAUGAACCGUGAGGCUUAACCUU
rnacentral:rRNA from 1 species